UCGGGUUGUAAAGCACUUUUGUCCGGAAAGAAAUCCUUGGUCCUAAUAUGGCCGGGGGAUGACGGUACCGGAAGAAUAAGCACCGGCUAACUACGUGCCAGCAGCGCGGUAAUCGUAGGGUGCGAGCGUUAAUCGGAAUUACUGGGCGUAAAGCGUGCGCAGGCGGUUUGCUAAGACCGAUGUGAAAUCCCCGGGCUCAACCUGGGAACUGCAUUGGUGACUGGCAGGCUAGAGUAUGGCAGAGGGGGGUAGAAUUCCACGUGUAGCAGUGAAAUGCGUAGAGAUGUGGAGGAAUACCGAUGGCGAAGGCAGCCCCCUGGGCCAAUACUGACGCUCAUGCACGAAAGCGUGGGGAGCAAACAGGAUUAGAUACCCUGGUAGUCCACGCCCUAAACGAUGUCAACUAGUUGUUGGAGAUUCAUUUCCUUAGUAACGUAGCUAACGCGUGAAGUUGACCGCCUGGGGAGUACGGUCGCAAGAUUAAAACUCAAAGGAAUUGACGGGGACCCGCACAAGCGGUGGAUGAAGGUGGAUUAAUUCGAUGCAACGCGAAAAACCUUACCUACCCUUGACAUGGUCGGAAUCCCGCUG
rnacentral:rRNA from 1 species